rnacentral:rRNA from 1 species
GUCGAGCGGUAGAGAGAAGCUUGCUUCUCUUGAGAGCGGCGGACGGGUGAGUAAUGCCUAGGAAUCUGCCUGGUAGUGGGGGAUAACGUUCGGAAACGAACGCUAAUACCGCAUACGUCCUACGGGAGAAAGCAGGGGACCUUCGGGCCUUGCGCUAUCAGAUGAGCCUAGGUCGGAUUAGCUAGUUGGUGAGGUAAUGGCUCACCAAGGCGACGAUCCGUAACUGGUCUGAGAGGAUGAUCAGUCACACUGGAACUGAGACACGGUCCAGACUCCUACGGGAGGCAGCAGUGGGGAAUAUUGGACAAUGGGCGAAAGCCUGAUCCAGCCAUGCCGCGUGUGUGAAGAAGGUCUUCGGAUUGUAAAGCACUUUAAGUUGGGAGGAAGGGCAGUUACCUAAUACGUAAUUGUUUUGACGUUACCGACAGAAUAAGCACCGGCUAACUCUGUGCCAGCAGCCGCGGUAAUACAGAGGGUGCAAGCGUUAAUCGGAAUUACUGGGCGUAAAGCGCGCGUAGGUGGUUUGUUAAGUUGAAUGUGAAAUCCCCGGGCUCAACCUGGGAACUGCAUCCAAAACUGGCAAGCUAGAGUAUGGUAGAGGGUGGUGGAAUUUCCUGUGUAGCGGUGAAAUGCGUAGAUA